UGCAGUCGGAAGGUUGUAAGUUCGAUUCCAGCUUCCUACUGCCACAUUUCGACGUGCCUUUGGGCAAGGUACUUAACCCCAAAUUGCGUAUCAGUGUAUAAAUGUGCGAAUGGGUGAGAAUAUGAAUGACUCCAGUGUAAAGCGCUUUGAGUGGUCAAAAUUACAGGAAAACUGCUAGACAAGUUCAGUCCAUUUACCAUUUGAGCACAACGAGUUUUGCUUGCCAUUCUUUGGCGUCAAAUUUAUUUGACGAUGUUAGACGUGUUCCUAUUGGUUAGCGCUGACUAAAGAGGAUGACGAACGAUGUAAGACGUGUUCCUAUUGGUUAGCGCUGACUAAAGAGGAUGACGAACGAUGUAAGACGUGUUCCUAUUGGUUAGCGCUGACUAAAGAGGAUGACGAACGAUGUAAGACGUGUUCCUAUUGGUUAGCGCUGACUAAAGAGGAUGACGAACGAUGUAAGACGUGUUCCUAUUGGUUAGCGCUGACUAAAGAGGAUGACGAACGAUGUAAGACGUGUUCCUAUUGGUUAGCGCUGACUAAAGCGGAUGACUCCGACUCCCUGGACCUCAGAACUCCGUCCCGAACUGCAGGGCUUCGGUGACGGGACACAGAAUGUGACUGAAUGGUUUGCGUCAUGAAACUUCUUGAUGCGUUUCUGAGCCAUGAUUGAGAUGCUGUAUGAUGUUCAACCAGAGCAGGUUGAACCCCCUGAGACCUUUCUGAGGUUAAAUGACCUUUCCCUUGGAUCCAAACACCUGGACCUGUUGACCGCUACCGUCCAUCGGUCAGCUGGAUCGUCACAGCGUUGACUAACUUUUUAUUUACAGUAAAUUAGGAUCUGGAAACCGGAGGACCAGACAUGCAAAAAUCUAUCUGCAGACUUUAACGCUGCAGUGAUCCUGCACUGAGCCGAGCCGCUGCUCUUCUCCUCCACAGUGACGAGUUUUCAUCACCAGUAAAGACAAACAAGUCUGACAUCUGAGUAACUGCUGGGAAGUUUAUUAAAUAUUCACUAUUCAUUUUGUUAUCCUGUUGGUACUUACAAUAAAAUUUAAUCUCUUUUGUAAUAUUCUGCCCAAUA